UGGCGGACGGGUGAGUAAUGUCUGGGAAACUGCCCGAUGGAGGGGGAUAACUACUGGAAACGGUAGCUAAUACCGCAUAACGUCUGCGGACCAAAGCGGGGGACCUCCGGGCCUCGCGCCAUCAGAUGAACCCAUAUGGGAUUAGCUAGUAGGUGGGGUAACGGCUCACCUAGGCGACGAUCCCUAGCUGGUCUGAGAGGAUGACCAGCCACACUGGAGCUGAGACACGGUCCAG
rnacentral:rRNA from 1 species